AACUUUUAGCAAUGGAUCUCUUGGUUCUGGCAUCGAUGAAGAACGCAGCGAAAUGCGAUAAGUAGUGUGAAUUGCAGAAUUCAGUGGAUCAUCGAAUCUUUGAACGCACAUUGCGCCCCUUGGUAUUCCAUGGGGCAUGCCUGUUCGAGCGUCAUUUGUACCCUCAAGCUCUGCUUGGUGUUGGGUGUUUGUCCUGCGGUUCUGUGUGGACUCACCUUAAAACAAUUGGCAGCCGGCAUGAUAGUCUGGAGCGCAGCACAUUUUGCGCAUCUUGCUAUUCUAUGUUGGCACCCAUCAAGCCCAUUUAUUUGCUCUUGACCUCGGAUCAGGUAGGGAUACCCGCUGAACUUAAGCAUAUCAAUAAGCGGAGGCU
rnacentral:misc_RNA from 1 species